CGCGACCCUCAUCCUCUGAACAUGGGAAUUCUUCACGGGCCAGCACUCCGCCCCAUACAUCAUCGCAGGUCUAACCAUGGCUCUAUAGAAUUUCCCCUUGAGUUUGUGUGGAACUUUCUUGUCACACAGGACUCGUGAUGCAAGUCUCCACUUUGACCACCCCGCUCUUAUUCGAUGAGUGACGACCCCGUCAAUCUCUCCGUCCCCCUGAAUCACAGACCCAAGAUAUCGGACACUGUCCCUCUUGGCGAUGGCCUGAGAACCAAUCAUCACGUCCCUGCCUANN
rnacentral:lncRNA from 1 species